GGUUAGCUCAGUUGGUAAGAGUACUGCGUUGACAUCGCAGGGGUCACUGGUUCAAGUCCAGUACCGCCCACCA
rnacentral:tRNA from 1 species